rnacentral:rRNA from 1 species
AAUAGAUACCCCGGUAGUCCACGCCGUAAACGAUGAGUGCUAGGUGUUGGGGGUAUCAUGCCCUCGGUGCCGAAGUUAACACAUUAAGCACUCCGCCUGGGGAGUACGGUCGCAAGACUGAAACUCAAAGGAAUUGACGGGGACCCGCACAAGCAGUGGAGUAUGUGGUUUAAUUCGAAGCAACGCGAAGAACCUUACCAGGUCUUGACAUCCCUCUGACCGUCCUAGAGAUAGGGCUUUCCUUCGGGACAGAGGAGACAGGUGGUGCAUGGUUGUCGUCAGCUCGUGUCGUGAGAUGUUGGGUUAAGUCCCGCAACGAGCGCAACCCUUGAACUUAGUUGCCAGCGAGUAAGGUCGGGCACUCUAGGUUGACUGCCGGUGACAAACCGGAGGAAGGCGGGGAUGACGUCAAAUCAUCACGCCCCUUAUGACCUGGGCUACACACGUACUACAAUGGCCGGUACAAAGGGCAGCGAAGCCGCGAGGUGGAGCCAAUCCCAGCAAAGCCGGUCUCAGUUCGGAUUGCAGGCUGCAACUCG